rnacentral:lncRNA from 1 species
UCAAAGGACAGGACCAUGAAAAGUCGGAAUAAUUGGGUCGCACGCGGUUUCAACGAUGCUCCAUUAUUUUAUAUUCUUUCUACGGUCUUCUUUCUAGAUAUCUCUGACUGUUAAAUAAAAUAAUAAAUAGUCUGUCCUUCCAUUAAGAAAUUGCAAGUUACUUUCAACAUAUUUUCUAUUUAUUUGAGAUCUGAUGAGAAACAACAAAGUGCAGCUUCUUUGAAGCCCUUUUGGUUUCUUGGGAGAUUUUCUUGAAAUUUCUUCAAAAUAAGCAGGGGAACAACGGAAGGUUCGGCGAUGGAGGAUGAGAAAGAGACUGACGAAGAAGAUUUACAAUCAAGGACUAUGUUUUGUACUGGUUCAUCCAAGCAUACACCCAAAGACAAGAUCACUUGGGCGGAUCUUGACGAUGAUUUGGUAAAGAUCAAGACUCAAAACUUGAUGCAAUCUUUAUUGUUGGAAUCGGAGGACUCGGCAAGACAACUUAGGUUAGAAAAGUUUAUAUUUAUAAAUUUAUUGCGUAUCAUUUGGUAUUAGUAUCUAAAUAAUGAUAUUUCAAAAUCAUAAAAUGAUUUACGAGAUAUGGAAUACUAGAGACAAGACGAUACGAAACAAUCAUUUACGAAUGAUGUGAAAGUAGAAUCUUGCAAACUAGUAGACUAUAAAAUAUCGCUACUAAAGGGAAAUAGAUAUCUCAUUGUCAUGGAUGAUAUAUGGAAUAUAAAGGUAUUUACAAAUGAUACAAAGUAGAUUAGUUAGUGGAUUAGAAAAUAUGGUAGAAGAGACCUCAUUGUAAUAGAUGAUGUGUGGAAUAUCGGACCUCGGAUGAUUUUAACUAUUGUAUAUACAAUUGGACUCUAGAUAAGAGAUGACAAGUCAACAAAAUCGAUUGGAUGUGAUGGUUAAUGUUCAUAAUUUUUAUUUUUUUAUUCGUGUCUUAAAUAGACAUUAUGAAGUAGAAUUUUGUUAACUAGUAAAAUAGAAAAUGUCGCAAUUGAUGACAUCUCAUUGUAAUUGUAAUGAAUGAUAUACAAGAGUCCUAAGUUUUUUGGACUAUCCUAUCAAGUGGCCAUUGUUGCAAGCUUUGGAAAAAUAUAAUUAUUCUUGGUUUAUUGCCCGAUCUUGAAAUUCUCAAACUGUUGUAUCGAUUGAGUUGUAUGAUUGUCGAGAUUCAGUAGCACAACAAAUACUGAAGCUAACAAGGUGUCAAAGUUGGCAGUACAGAAUUGUCCAAUACAUUGUUGUUCAAUUACAAAUGUUAUUCACUUUUUUGUAUUUCCUUUUUUCUCUCUACUAAUUUUGGUGCGGAUGAUGAAAUUAACUUCUUUUUUGGACUAUGGUUUUCAAACCAAUGUUUUAAAAAUCGACUCAAACAUUGACUCGAAAAAGAAAAGGGGUCAAUUUUUAAAGGGUCGAACCGGUAUGGAAUGACAAAUCAAAUAAAUAAGUACACAAAUAAGCUAUAAAAUAUCAUAACUAUAAAAAAAAUUUUAAUUUUAGUUUUCUCAUUCAAAGUAAAUGUAAUCCAUGUUUGUUAAUUAUAUUUAUUAUAGUAAUUUAUUUUAUAACCUCAAAAAUUAACAAUUAAUAUGUCAAAAAUAACUUGCUUUGUUCAAAUUGAAAAUUAUAAUUUUGUUGGUGUUUAUGAUUUGUUAAUGAAGAUAAUAAAGUAAAUUAGUCAACACUUAGAAAGUUAAAUUGGCAAUUGGUUAUUAUCUCACAUUGGAAGAUUACCAAAAUAUUAGAAGAAGAAUCUUCUUUAAAAAUGAGCCAGUAUCUCAUAUUGGAAGGUUACCAAAACAUUGGAAAAAUAGUCUCCUUUAAAAAUGAGGUAAAAGAGAAUCACUUGUAUAAAAAAGUUAGGGAAAAAUUCAUUUAUAAGAGUUUAUCUAUUCCAUAUUUCAAAACUAAGAAAAGAAGAUUUACAUUCAGUUAUUAUUAAAAUUUAUUUCUGAAAUAAUUGAUUAAAAAAAUAUUUUAUUAAUUAAACAUAUUAAGGCCAUAGAUCUAUUAAAUUUGAUCACAGUUUAUCAAAUUAAUUGAUUACAAAUUAUUUCUAAGUCACAUAUCGAAAAUUCUAUAGGUCACAAAUUAUUUAUCGAUCACAUACUGAAAAUUUCAUAGGUCACAAUUCUUUGACCGAUCACAAAAUUAAAAUUUUUAUUGGUCACAAAUAAAAUUUUUCACAAGUCACAGUUCAUUGAUCUGUCACAAAAUCAUAAUUUUAAUUGGUCAUAACUCAUUUGUCGGUCACAGAUCAAAAUUUUCAUAAGUCACAAUUAAUUGAUUGGUCACAAAAUCAAAAUUUUUACUAAUUACAAUUUAUUUGUUGAUCACAAAUUAUCAAAAUAAUUUGCCACAAUUAAUUUUACAAUCACAAAUUAUUUUUUGAUCACAAUUUAAAAAUUUUAUAGAUCACAAUUUAUUCAUUGGUCACAAAUCAAAAAUUUAUUUGUUACCACCACGCCAUGACUUUAGCAGCACCAUUGCCAAAACCACUGUUACCACCUCCCGACAGCAACAUCCCCAUCUCAUACGAGCCAACACUGCCACCUCCCCACACCACCGUCGAUAGCAAAACCACCACCUCAAACAAAUUAACCAUCAUAGAAACCACCACCACACCAUCGCAUCACUAGUGCGAGGCUGCGCCGCAAGCGAAAAGGAAGGAGAGCUAGCCACACUAACUCACCACCACCACUACCCGCACCACCGCCACCUGCACCACCUAAUUUGUAACCACAUCGCCAAUGCCAACAUUGUUUGUGACAUCGCUAUAUCCACCACAUCUAUCACCAGAUCCACCAAUAAAAAUCACCUCAAAAUCCCAAAACCAAAACAUUAAAACCCAUCACCACACAACAACACAACACCACCCGCACUGCACUCCCCACCACACCACUGUACCACACAUCCAAACACUACAUCGUCAUCACCAAGCUACUGUAGUCGCGAUCAGAGAGGCAUAGAUCGCGUUAUCUGAGUGUCGGCACUGCCGUGAGCAUCGCUUACAACAACACUCAGAAUGGCCACUAUGAGAGCUGCCUCCAAUGCUCACAACAGCGCUUAGAAGUUAGAUCAACACCUAUAAUCUUGCAGCAAAAUAGAGAGAAUUUGAGCUCCGGCACCACUGAGAUGGAGAGAAUCUGAUAGGCCCUUAGUCGCGGUAUCUGAGCAUCGACACCGUUGACGAUUUCGCAAUAGCGGCUAUGACGAUCGGUGCCGACGGAGAGAAGGAGACGUUUGAGAGAUAUAGGGUAGAGAGAAAGUGGAGAUAAAGGGUAGAAGAAAAUGAAUGAAUUAGGGCUCCGAAUGGGAUGGGUGGAUUAAUUAAUUUUUAUGGAGUAAUUAAUUAAAAUAAGCCUCCGAUUUUUGAAAUAAUAAAUUUAAUAUAUGAUUAAUGAAACUGAAUCUUUAAAUCUCUUAGUUUAUGUAAUCUCCUCUUUAGGGAAUUCGAGCCUUCAAUUGUAGUGUGUGGCCCAUUAAAAUAGUUAAAAGUUUUUGUGAAAAAAAUUAAAAUCAAUCGGGAAAAACGUGGCAGGUUUACCGGUUCACGGUUAAACUGACCGAGUUGAUAGUUUAUUAGCCGGUUCUUUAUUUUUCGGUUAAUGUAUGAGUACCGGAUCGGAUUAAAGGUGGAUUCACGAAUUUCUUGAUUGAACUGGCCAAUCCGAUCCGAUUUUUAUAACAUUGUUUCAAAUUAAACACAGUUUUUCUCCCCCAUAAUUUUGAAUGUGCUUGCUGGAAUACAAUUUUGUUUAGUCUUACUUUGGAUGGAAGUUAGAUUUCGUGAAAGCAAGAGAAAAGUUCAAAAAGUUAAACAAUCUCAAGAGAAUUAGAUUCUAUUACGUGUUGACCAUUUGCUCAUGUUUGAGUCAUAUUCCUUUAAAAUAUAUUUUUUAAACUCAUUUUUAAUGAUAUAUUCUUUCAAUAAAAUAAUUUUGCAUGUAAAAAUUUAAAAUUUUUCUCUAUAAUUUGAUCACGCUUUUCAAAAAUUCACAAUUUCAAAAUCUAUUAAUCCAAAAAAUAGGGUUGAAACAAUUAUGUUACAAGCAUUUGUAUUUUAUGCCUUCUAUAUAUUGGAGUCGAAAAAAAAAUAUUAGGCCAAAAUCAUGUUAUUGUAUAUAAUAGCGCAUGCUAUGUUGGUUAUAAAUUAAUCCUUAUUUAGUCAGUGCAUUUUUGGAAAUAUGAGUUACGUUUUAAAAUACUUAUUUGUAUGUAAAUUCAUGAUUGCCCUUCUUACUUAAUUGUCAAAUUCAAUCUGACGCCUAUUUGGUGGUAUUAAAAACAAACUUUUAGUCAAUUUUGAUUUUGAUUAAAAAAAUGAUGAAAUAUGUGGUUAAGAAGUUGUGACUUUUAUUAUGGGUGCGUGCGCGUGCGUGCAUACAUACAUUUUUUUGGUUUGUUAUUGUCAAUGAUUUAUCUUCUGUUCUGAGUUACACAAUGAAAUUUCAAUAAGUAUUGUACUUCUAACUUUGUUAAAAAAAAAAAAAAAAAUGUCUUCAACAAACCACUUAUUUUCAAAAAUUAUCCUAAUAAUCACUAAAUUUGUAAUUCAUUAUCUCAUCCAUCAUUCAAUUUUUUAAAUUGACAAUCACGUGGAUGCCAAGUGAAAAAUAGAUUGCCACGCAUGUACUUUUGUCAGUUACGUCACCAAAUUUAUCAAUUCUUUAAACGUUCAUUGAGUGAGUAAUAGAUGUGAUUACAUUUUGCAAAGUUCAAUGACUAAUGGGGAAACAUUUGAAAUUUAGUGAUCCCUUGAAAACUAUUCGUUAAGUUCAUUGACCAAUCAGGUAAUUAACUCCCUUUUUAAUUAUUGUUAGAGAUUCAAGGGAACAAGCAUGAUAUUUUGAUUAAGCUUUAGAUUAGGGUAUUUAUCUUGUUGCAAACUAUUGUUUCUAGUUUGUUUUUUAUUUGAUUAAAAGAAAUAAUAUAAUUGAGAGUUUUACUUUAGCGCUCUGUAAUCCGAAUCGUUAUUAUGUGAAAUCGACGAUGUAUUAAUUAAGAAUCAAUUCUUGAUAUUUAUGUGAGGAAAACCGAAUUUUGAUUAUUAAGUUUCUGAUAUUUUUACAAAGAACUAAGGAAUAUUUAAUUAUUUUAUUUGUAAUUGCCUUUUGCUAUAUUAUAUAUAUCAAGAUUUUCAAUUUUUGCACACAAGGUGCGUAGGCUAACCUUAAUAAAUUGAAAGAAGUUUGUGGUUGCGCUUGUCGACAAUGUUGAAAGAUGUAAAGUAGAGGUAGUUGUAGCAACGGUUUCGAAAUUUUGUUUUUUAAGUGGAUUUUUCAUUAAUCUUCAAUUUGUGCAGUUCCAUAUCUUUCAAAUAGUCACAUUACUAGAAGGCGAAAAACGUCAGUGCAUUCGUUAGUUGACCUAAAAAAUUAACCAAAAAAAAUUGUAUUUUUUUACCAACUAUACCAUAUACAUUUUCAUCCCUUCCUAUUAUACUCUCAAAAAUAAAAAAAUGUCAAUUAUUUAUACAUUUUCACUUCCGAUUAUUUCAUGAUAUGAUUGUAUACGAUCAUCUUCUAAAUAGAUUCUAAAGAAACCCAUGUUCUCGAUGACAAUCCUUUAGAUAUUGCUUGUCGUCUAUUAGGCGUUCUUUUUGAACCUGUGUACAGUUAUUGUUGUUGGAAUUUAAAAAAUUCCUGGUUUGGGCAUGAUGGUUAUUUGUUUUCCAAGGAAAAUCCUAGUUAUUUCAACAUAAGGCAACAACAUGGUGGAAUGUUAUUCGGAAAGAUGUGAAAUUUUGCGUAUGAGCAUGGUAAAAUAAGUUAUUUAGAC